AUUGAACGCUGGCGGCAUGCCUUACACAUGCAAGUCGAACGGCAGCACGGGGCAACCUGGUGGCGAGUGGCGAACGGGUGAGUAAUGCAUCGGAACGUACCUUUCAGGGGGGGAUAACGUAGCGAAAGUUACGCUAAUACCGCAUAUUCUGUGAGCAGGAAAGCAGGGGAUCGCAAGACCUUGCGCUGAUUGAGCGGCCGAUGUCAGAUUAGCUAGUUGGUGAGGUAAAGGCCCAGCAAGGGGACGAUCUGUAGCGGGUCUGAGAGGAUGAGCCGCCACACUGGAACUGAGACACGGUCCAGACUCCUACGGGAGGCAGCAGUGGGGAAUUUUGGACAAUGGGGGCAACCCUGAUCCAGCCAUGCCGCGUGAGUGAAGAAGGCCUUCGGGUUGUAAAGCUCUUUCGGCCGGGAAGAAAUCGCACGGGCCAAUACCCUGUGUGGAUGACGGUACCGGAAUAAGAAGCACCGGCUAACUACGUGCCAGCAGCCGCCGUAAAAC
rnacentral:rRNA from 1 species